GUGCCAGCAGCCGCGGUAAUACGGAGGGUGCAAGCGUUAAUCGGAAUUACUGGGCGUAAAGCGCACGCAGGCGGUCUGUCAAGUCGGAUGUGAAAUCCCCGGGCUCAACCUGGGAACUGCAUUCGAAACUGGCAGGCUAGAGUCUUGUAGAGGGGGGUAGAAUUCCGGGUGUAGCGGUGAAAUGCGUAGAGAUCUGGAGGAAUACCGGUGGCGAAGGCGGCCCCCUGGACAAAGACUGACGCUCAGGUGUGAGAGCGUGUGGAGCACACACGAUUAGAUACCCUGGUAGUGCA
rnacentral:rRNA from 1 species